GUCCUGUGAUGACCUGUGGCGGAAGGUAAACCGAAGGUGACUGCGGUUAACGUCCUCGAUGGGAAUGGCCACCUUCAAGAAUUGAAAAAGAAGUUUAAGCACUGUUAUCAAUAUCAUCCAGCGUAACAGCUUUAUUCAACUGGAGCUAUCAGAUAUGAAAUUCCAGAUUAUGGGAGGGAGAGUUUGAAGAAGGAAGAACCACCAAUAGAAAGCGGUCCCCAAAGAGGUAUCGGGGAUGGCACCCAGACAGGAGCACAUGUACCACUGCCCAGAAUGUGCGUUUCACUAGACAAGUGACCACAAAACAACAAGAAAGUCCAAGAAUAACCCCAGAUGGCCCGGGUCACUUUCCCUGUGUCUGCUACUGCUCCACCGCCACACUGGACUUAAGAGAGGAAGAUGCCUUGUUUAUUUUCUCUGCACAAGACCCUUCCCCAGAAGGGUCUCUCUGUAGCCCAGCUCUACGUUCAGGCGGAGCACAGAGGACUUUUAGGAUGGUGAAGCUACCCAGUGAGAGACUACAAUGGUGAAUAUACGGUAUUAUUCAUUUGUCGAAACCCACAGAAGGCACAACAUCAAGAAUGAACACUAAUGUAAACUACAGACUUCACAGGGCGACGAUGUGUCAAUGUGGUUCACCAACUGUAAUCAAUGUACCAAUCUAUGGGGGAUACUGAUAAUGGGGAGGCAGGGGGAAGGAAGGAGAAAUAUAUAGGAACUGUCUGUA
rnacentral:antisense_RNA from 1 species